UACGUAGGGUGCGAGCGUUAAUCGGAAUUACUGGGCGUAAAGCGUGCGCAGGCGGCGCGUUAAGACGGGUGUGAAAGCCCCGAGCUUAACUUGGGAAUUGCGCUUGUGACUGGCGUGCUGGAGUGUGGCAGAGGGAGGUGGAAUUCCACGUGUAGCAGUGAAAUGCGUAGAGAUGAGGAGGAACACCGAUGGCGAAGGCAGCCUCCUGGGCCAGCACUGACGCUCAUGCACGAAAGCGUGGGGAGCAAACAGG
rnacentral:rRNA from 1 species